AGUCCUGUAGUCCAGUGGUCUAAGACGCUCGCACUGUACUUGUCCCGUAUGCGCCAGCGUUGUGUCGGGCGCGUUGCUGCAUGGGCAGCCCACGCGUAAAGACGGAUAAUGCGAGAGACGCUUGUUCGAACCAAGUCGGGACCA